UACGUAGGGUGCGAGCGUUGUCCGGAAUUAUUGGGCGUAAAGAGCUUGUAGGCGGUUUGUCGCGUCUGCCGUGAAAAUUCGAGGCUCAACCUCGAACUUGCGGUGGGUACGGGCAGACUAGAGUGUGGUAGGGGAGACUGGAAUUCCCGGUGUAGCGGUGAAAUGCGCAGAUAUCGGGAAGAACACCCGUGGCGAAGGCGGCUCUCUGGAACGCAACUGACGCUGAGACGCGAAAGCGUGGGGAGCAAACAGGG
rnacentral:rRNA from 1 species